CAAGAGUUAAUUAUGAGAUCGACCUUUUUUCUCAUGGGUAUUAUAGAGAUGGGGCUUUCUUCCCGUACUUAUAGAUGUAGGCAUUUCUAAGAUGCUGAAAAUAUAAUAUUGCUCCUUUCACCUAAUACAAUUAAUCGUCUCUCUUCCUCGUCGUUUGUGUUCUUUCUCUCUAGUCAGCAAACCUAAAGACGAUGUUCUGAUCUCCUCCCUUCGAAUACACAAAUAUAAUCGCCCAAACGAAUUAGUUCUAUACGAAUGCCAAUAGAGAAGGAAAGAGAGACAGAGAGUUCCGAACUUUCAAGUUGUAUAUGGUCUGCAAUCUUACACUUCAUGUCUCUCUAAUUCAAAGGUAACAAAAGUCCAAAAUCUCUUCCAUUUUCCAACAACGGUUCAUCUUCUUUGUCGCUUCUUUGUAACUAAGGAAGCCUUGUGGGUAUCGCCUGACCUUGUAAGGUAUAAGGUAUGUGGACUAUGUUCUUUGCUUGAGUUGUUCAUUUUUUAUUUUUGCUAGAGAAACAAAUCAAAUGGUUUUCUAAGUUCCGAGACUAGUUAGUUAGGAUGGUGUUAUAAAAGAGAGAAUUAAGGAAUAUAAGUAAUCUGGUUUUGAAGAUACAAUAAUUGAUUUAUGUGAAUACGUAAACAUUGUGAUUCUGGAUAUUUUGUAACCUCAAGAAUCAAUUCUAAGAAAUCAAAAUAGUAGGGGUUUAGCCUGAAAUUAUGAUCCCUCACUCUCUUUCUUAGCAAAUCAGUUGGUCCAUUUUUUGCAUAUUCUCUUGAAAAAAAUAUCAUCGCUCAAACUAUAUCAUGUUUUCUUUGUUAUGAUAUUCUUCUUGCAAGAGUGAAAUAAAGAUCAAAUAAGUAACCAAUAGAACAACGAUAGUGAUAUAAAUCAGCCUCAUCCAUGGAUGUUUAUCUCCAUUUUAAAAAUCAUUAUUCGUGGAUUUCAUUAUUGUUUCUAGUGGUUUUGCAUAUCUUUUUGAUGAAGAAAUAAUAGUUGUUCAUGCAUUGGUAGCCAUGUUGUUAGUCAUGUCCUUUACAAUAUGUGUGUUUCGUUUGGUGUUUUGGUUUCCUCAGUUGUAUUUCCUUAGAGUUUAGUGUUAUGUGGUUAACUGGCUACUUGGGUUCCUCAGUUGUAGUUCCUUAGGGUUUAGUGUUCUGCGGUUAAUUGGCUACUUGGGUUCCCCAAGUUGUAGUUCCUUAAGGUUUAUGUCAUGCGGUUAAUUGGCUACUUGGGUUCCCUCAGUUGUAGUUCCUUAGGGUUUUAGUUUUUCUUAAUACAUGUGUGUUUGAUUCGGUCCUUGGUUUCCCUUAAUACACUAGUUUUCCUCUUUGCAUUCCCCUUGUAGGGUCGAUUAAGUAAAAUGGCUUCUACUACCCACCGAACUCUUCACUCACGAGGGUUUGCUCAGUAUUAACUAUUAAGUAUCUUCCUGAACAAAUCAUUUACAUGGAUGCUGGCAUCGACUAGAUAGUUGUAAAGACAAAGAAGUUCUUGAAGGAGUCGACAUCUUAAGGGACUGAUUCAUCUAUGUGAUUUUCAGAGUUUGUUGUAUUGUUGUCUUCUGAGACUAAAGAUAGAGUAUGUAAUUUUGAUUUGUUUUUUCUAGUUUUUGUUUUGGUAUAUAAGCCUGACAAUGAAAACCAAACAAUUUGUUAAUUUACGUUUUAUAUAUGAAGA